rnacentral:lncRNA from 1 species
GCUAGUGGUAGUACCUCGUGCCCCUUCCAACUCCACCGGAUAGGGAGCAAAUAGAGUAUAGAGCAUAAGAAAGUAAAAAUGAAAGACAAAGUAAAUGAAAGUAUAUAAGAAGAAUCAAGUCAAAUUUUUUAAUCACUUGAAAACACACUUUAAGGAUGAAAUCAAUGCAAGAUUAUAUUUAAUAGGGGGAGUUUAUUUGAAAAGAAUUGAUUUUGAUCCUUGACAUGCUUGUUCUUAAUAUUUCAACGCAUGACUUAACACAUAAUAUAUUUUGCAUGUGGCAUGAUGUUUUGAAUUAUGGGUUCUCAAUAUGUUGUAAUAAUCCAUGCUUGGAUAAUUUGAUUGAAUGUUUGAAAUACUGCAUAAAAUUGUUUUUGGGUAUUAUUGAAAAGAAAUUUCAGAUUUGUCAUUCACAAUCAUCUUUAAAAACUGAAAGUUGAAUAAAUUUGUAAAAAGGAGAAAAGAAAGAUAUCUCUAUUUAGGCAAAAUGAAUUGAUCUUGAUCUAUCUUUCUACUUGCCUAACUUUGAUACAUAAUAUCCUAAUACUUGUUAAAAUAUCCUCCAUUUUGUAUCAAAACUCAAUAAUAAAUACAAAUAUUCU